rnacentral:lncRNA from 1 species
GAACCAAACUUCCCCUUUCCUCUUUUAUACAUCCCCCAUCUAAGCAGUCUGGAUAUGCAUUUGUUUCUUCCUUCAUAGUCUAAAACUUCACCACUUCCUACCUUCUCCAUUAUUUCCACGGUAGUCCAAGCUCUGUCAUUCUCUCCCUGGCUUAUGAGAGAGCACUUUAUUUGGCCUCUGAACUUCCAUUAUUUCUCUUCUCUAAUCCAUUCUAGUGAUCAAAGCAGUCCUAUAAGCGCUAAGUUAUAUCAUAUCAUUAUUUUACUAUAAAACCUGCAAUGAUUCCCCAUUUCUCACAGAACAAAAACCACAGGGUUCUUGGUAGUCCACCAAGCCUCACAGGAUCUGUCCCCUCCUCUCAUUAACUCCUUGACCUUAUCUCUUGUAAUUUUCCCCAACACACCUAUCUCCUCAGCUACCUAGGCCCCUUCCUGUUCCUUGAACCUGCCAGGUAUAUUCUUGUUUGCAGAACAGGUUGUUCCAUCCAUCCUUCUGGAAUGCUAUUUCCAUAGAUGUCUUUGUAAUGAAUGCCCAAACCUCUCAACAACUGAUUCUGACCUCCAUUUAAAUAUGCAUCCUGAACUGAACUACCAUCUUCCAAUUUUUAAAAUUUUUUAUUAAAGUGUAGUUGAUUUACAAUACUGUUCCAAUUUCUCCUAUAUAGCAAACUGAUUCAGUUAUACACAUAUACACUUUCUUUUUUUAUAUUAUUUUCCAUCAUGGUCUAUCCCAGGAUAUUGGAUAUAGUUUCCUGUGCUCUACACUGGGACCUUGUUGUUUAUCCAUCCUACAUGUCAUAGUUUGCAUCUACUAACCCCAAACUCCAACUCCAUCCCAGUCCCCUCCCUCCAUGUUGGCAACUACAAGUCUUUUCUCCAUAUCUGUGAGUCUGUUUCUGUUUUGUAGGUAAGUUCAUUAGUACCAUAUUUUAUAUUCCACAUAUAAAUUAUAUCAUAUGAUAUCUGUCUUUCUCUUUCUGACUUACUUCACUUAGCAUGAGAAUCUCUAGUUUCGUCCAUGUUGCUGCAAAUGCCAUUAUUUAGUUCUUUUUUAUGGCUGGGUAGUAUUCCAUUGCAUAUGUGUACCACAUCUUCUUAAUCCAUUCACCUGUUAAUGAAUAUUUAGGUUAUUUCUUUGUAUUGUCCUUUGUGAAUAGUGCUACUAUGAACAUAGGGGAGCAUGUAUCUUUUUGAAUUGUAGUUUUGUCCAGAUCUAUUACCAGGAGUAGGAUUGCUGGAUCAUAUGAAAAUUCUAUUUUUAAUUUUCUAAGGAACCUCCAUACUGGUUUUUAUAGUGGUUGCACCAACUUAUAUUCUCACCAACAACAUAGAAGCAUUCCCUUUUUUCUAUACCCUCUCCAGCAUUUGCUAUUUGUAGGUCUUUUUAACGAUGGCCGUACUGACCACUGUGAGGUGGUACCUCACUGUAGUUUUAAUUUCCAUUUCUCUAAUAAUCAGUGAUGUUGAGCAUCUUUUUAUGUGCCUACUAGCCCUUUUUUAAUUCUUUGGAGAAAUGUCCCUUUAGGUCUUCUGUCCAUUUUUUGACUGGGUUGUUUGUUUUUUUUUGUUGUUCAGUUGUAUGAGUUAUUUGUAUAUUUUGGAAAUUAAGCUGUUGUUGGUUGGAUCAUUUGGAAAUAUUUUCUUCCAUUCUGUAUAUUAUCUUUUCAUUUUUUUAUGGUCCUUUGCUGUGCAAAAUUGUUUAUUUUUAUUAUCUCUGUUUUCUUGGGAGGCUGACCUAGUAAACAUUUGUAUGAUUUCUGCUUUUUUUAAUUUCAGGAUUGCUUUAGUAAUCUGGGUCUUUCAUGGUUCCAUAUACAUUUUUGGAUUAUUUGUUCUAGUUCUGUAAAAAAUGUCAUGAGUAAUUUGAUAGGGAUCACAUUAAAUCUAUAAAUUGCUUUGGGUAGUAUAGCCAUUUUAACAAUAUUAAUUAUUCCAAUCCAAGAACAUGUCUUUCCAUUUCUUUGAAUGAUCUUGAAUUUUCUUUAUUAAUGUUAUAUGUUUCUCAGUGUAUAAGUCUUUCACCUCUUUGAUCAGGUUGAUUUCUAGGUAUUUGGGGGGCAUGAUUUUAAAAGGUAUUGUUUUUUAUAUUCCCAUUCUAACAUGUCAUUUUUAGUAUACAGAAACACAACCAAUUUGUGAAUGUUUAUCUUGUAUCCUGCUGCUUUGCUGAAUUUUUUAUUAGAUCUAGUAGAUUUUGUGUGGAGUCCUUAGGGUUUUCUAUAUAUAGUAUUAUGUCAUCUGUAUAUAGUGAAAAAUUUCACCUCUUCUCUUCCAACCUGGAUAGUGGGAAAGCUUUCAGCUUUUGUCCAUUGAGUAUUAUAUUGGCUGUUGUUUUGUCAUAAAUAGCUUUUAUUAUACUGAGAUAUAUUUCCUCUAUAUCCACUUUGGUAAAAAUUUUUAUCAUGAAUGGAUGUUGAAUUUUGUCAAGUGCUUCUUCUGCAUCUGUCAGGAUGAUCAUGCACUUUUGACUUUUCUUUUGUUAAUACAGUGUGUUACAUUUAUUUAUUUGCAUAUGCUGAACCUUCCUUGUGAACUUAGGAUGAAUCCCACUUGGUCAUGGUUUAUGUCCUAAUUUGCUUAGUAGCAUUUUUCACUGCCUAAUAUGUCACAUAUUUACUUGUUUAUUGUGCUUUAAUCCCAUAUCCACACUACUAAAAUGUAAGCUCUGUAAGGUAGACAUCUCUGUUUUAUUCACUCAUAUAUACUGUGUUUAGAAUAGUGCAGAGUUCUGUCCACUGAAAAACAAAUGCACAACCUACAAGUUGAGAAUUAUGUUUUAUUUGGCAGUCAUGCUGAGGACUUAAGCCUGGGAAGCAGCCUCUCAGAUAGCUCUGAGGGACUGGACCAGGGAUGUAAGGGAGGAGCCAGGAUAUAUACAAGUUUCUGCAACAAAAACUGCGUAGUUGAAACAUCAAAAGAUUAUUGUUAAUUAAAGAAAAAUCAGACAUCUCAAGUCAAUGAGAUAUGUGAGAAUAUGCAAGGCUUAUUGAAAUCAUUCCUUUGAUAUGGACCUUAACUCUUUAGGGCCAGUGUCCUAUUUUUUUCCAUCCCGAAUCCCUUCAGGGGCCACAGUUGGGAGGCAGCUACAGUGGCUGAGGGCUUAUUGGCUGCAACCUCCUUUGUUUGCUGAUAUAGGAAGAUGACAUUUUUCAUUCAUAGGGCAAAGUAGCCAACUAAGAAAUAUUUAUUCAAUUAAUUAAUUAGGUGCAGCAAGGGACACUUGGAUUUAAGGAAAUGCACAGUGUUUUUUAAAAAGAAAAGCAGAACUAAACUAAGUAUUGGAGCAAGUUAGCUUACAUGACUUCUUUGUAAGAAUGGAUACUUUGAAUUUCUAACUGCAGCACCAAUGCUGUGCACUACACCAUAAGAAUGGUCAACUGUUUGUUGAGAAUUUAGAUUGCAGAGCUACUUUGAAUAUUUUACAUAUCAUGAGCUUACCUUUCAUAACAUCAAUUUUUGAUAAUAUUUGCAAGAAUUUUAUAAUUUAAUGGUUCAACAUUUUCUGCAUUUCAAGUCUUCAUCAAUGUAAUAUUCUUCAAAUGGCCAAAUUCUGGCAUGUGAAUAUACAUUAAUUUGUUUUUCUCUUAGAACAGACAUCAUUUGAGGAAAUGUUUUAUUCAAAGGAAGCUAACAUUUGUACCAAACUCAAAUCAUUAAGAUGACUCAAAUAUAAUAGAAAUGCAUUUCUCAUUCACAUGACAACCUUGGCAAUUCCAGGUUGGUGGGCCCAGGGAGGGUAGGUAGGAUGUUGUCCAUGAGGUCAUUCAUGGGCUACGCUGGAGCAGGCUCUCAUCCCUACAGACCUCCAAGGGAGUAGUAAUCAAGUAGCUAUCAUGAGUAUAUCAAGUGGAAGAAGAAAAAAUAAAGCAUAAAGGAGUACUUGUGGGAGGUCUUAUGGUACAGGAUUAGAAGUGACAUAUUUUAGCUCACAGUCCAUCUGCUGGAACUCAGUCUCAUGACUGUGACCUAAUGCAAGGCUGGGAAAUGUACUCAAACUAUGUGUUCAGAAAGAAGAGAUGAGAAAAUGAAUUUUUUUUCAAUGAUUGGCAACUUCAGUCACUGAAAGAUAGGCAAGCUGUCAUUGCAAAGCCAGAUAUAGGGAAUUCUCAUUAUUUCUAGCAUCAGGCUUGUCAGGGAAACUUCUGACAUUAUUAUGAGCUUUAUUGAAUUGGGGUUAUUUUUCUGCUGUACUGGCUAUUUUGAAAUGCGAAUUUAUGCAAAGACUAUAGAUGAAAAAUAUUCAAGAUAUUAAAUAUAAUGGUUUUGGAAUAUCCGUACCUUAAAAUGAUGACAGCCACAGCAUAGUACAUAUUUUGGAGAGAGCUGGAUCCUUUUCCAAUGAUAUAUGUGAAUAAUACAUCUCAGUUAUUGAUACUAACAGAGAAAACCUAGGACACAAAUCACACAAAGGUAUGCAAUGAGAAUGGUAUUCCACUCCCCCUGGCUUCUUUAGAUUGGUGGAAACAACAACAACAACAACAACAACAAAUGAGAAACAAAUUUAAAGCAUUUUGAGCAACUUAGAACUCAACAAUUUCUUCUCACUUCCUGGUAGAGAAGGUAUGUUCCUGACUAUAGUAUGUGCUUGAGGCUAUAUUAUGGUCUGAAUGUCUGUGUCCCCCCAAAAUUCAUGGGUUGAAAUCUUAACCCCAAGGUGAUGAUAUUUGGUGGUGGAGCCUUUGGAAGGUGAUUCAGUCAUGAGGGUGGAGCUCUCAUGAAUGGGAUUAGUGCCCUUAUAAUGCGGCCCAGAAGCCCCCUUCCCCUUUCAUCAGGUGAGGUUACAGAGGAAGAGACAACUGGUCUAGGAAGUGGGAUUUCCCCCACAUCCUACUUGUUUGUGCAGUCUUGUUCUUGGACUUCCCAGGCUCCAGAAUUGCGAGAAAAAAAAAUUCCUAUUGUUUACAAGCUCCUCAGUCCAUGGUGUUUUUGUUACAGCAGCCUGAAUGGACUAAGACAGUUUAACUUUAGUGGUAAAUAAAUAGUCAGUACUCUUUGCACUUAAUUGAGUGAAAUGAUUUUGAAUUAUUGAAUGAAUUAAUAUCUGCCUCAACACAUACAAACACUGGGAAAAAUGGAGAACACAGAAAAAAAUGUCACAAGCCUUUUGAGAUACUCCAGAUUUUAUAUAUAAUUUGAACAAAUACAACUGACACCAUGUCUAUCAGAGAACUUACCACCUCAAAAUAAGACCAAAUAAUACCCUAGAAGUUCAUGGGAUGUUAUAGAGACUUGGAGAUUAAAAUGGCAGAUAAAUGUAGGGAUUCCUUUUAAGCUUAGGUCAAAGAGCUCAUUAAGUAGUCAAUUAAGUAGCUUAUAGUAACAACAAAUGUACUGUAUUUAAUAUUCAUAAAAUUUAAAAUAGCACAAUUGUACCAAAAAGCAGUUUUGAUCAUAAAGCCGUUCUAUGAAUAUGUUAGAUAAAAUUUGAAAAAUAAUGUGAAGCAGAAAAAAAAUUAUGAAUUGAAAAAGAAUUUGUGGGAGUUCCCAUCAUUGCUUAGUGGUUAUCGAAUGCUGCUAGGAACCAUGAGGCUGUGGGUUUGGUCCCUGGCCUUGCUCAGUGGGUUAAGGAUCUGGUGUUGCCGUGAGCUGUGGUGUAGGUUGCAGAUGUGGCUCCGAUCCCAUGUUGUUGUGGCUCUGGCAUAAGCUGACAGCUACAGCUCCAAUUGGACCCCUAGCCUGGGAACCUCCAUAUGCCAAGGGAGCGGCCCUAGAAAAGGCAAAAAGACAAAAAAAAAAAAAAAUUGUGUGGCAUUUCUGUAGUGGCUCAGUGGGGUUGAGAACAUGACACAGUCUCUGUGAGAUUGCAGCUUUGAUCCCUGACCUUGCUCAUUGGGUUAAGGAUCCCAUGUUGCCCCAAGCUGGGGUAUAAGACGAAGAUGCAGCUCUGAUCCAGUGUUGCUGUGGCUGUGGUGUGCAGCUGCAGUUCCAAUUCCACCCCUGGCCUGGUAACUUCCAUAUGCCACAGGUGCAGCCAUAAAAAGGAAAAA